GGAGGUUGAUUUUGUGUUCCAAGCCUGUGAUCAUUAACUGUUUUCCAGCUCUACCAGCAUCCUGUCCAAGCCUUUAAGAUGAGGAACAAAUUCUAUGUGAGGAGAAAUGGCAAAAAUUGGUAUGCCUCUGCUUUUCUGAUUUCCCAUUCCCUUCCAUUUCUCUUAUUAACAAAUAAAAGUAAGGAAAUCC